ACACGUAAACAACCUGCCUUCAGGAUGGGGACAACAGACGGAAACGACUGCUAAUACCGAAUAAGUUCCAAGAGCCGCAUGGCCCAUGGAAGAAAAGGUGGCCUCUACCUGUAAGCUAUCGCCUGAAGAGGGGUUUGCGUCUGAUUAGCUGGUUGGAGGGGUAACGGCCCACCAAGGCGACGAUCAGUAGCCGGUCUGAGAGGAUGAACGGCCACACUGGAACUGAGACACGGCCCAGACUCCUACGGGAGGCAGCAUG
rnacentral:rRNA from 1 species